rnacentral:rRNA from 1 species
GAUGAACGCUGGCGGCGUGCCUAAUACAUGCAAGUCGAGCGAACAGACGAGGAGCUUGCUCCUCUGACGUUAGCGGCGGACGGGUGAGUAACACGUGUAUAACCUCCCUAUAAGACUGGGAUAACUUCGGGAAACCGGAGCUAAUACCGUAUAAUAUAUUGAACCGCAUGGUUCAAUAGUGAAAGACGGUUUUGCUGUCACUUAUAGCUGGAUCCGCGCCGCAUUAGCUAGUUGGUAAGGUAACGGCUUACCAAGGCAACGAUGCGUAGCCGACCUGAGAGGGUGAUCGGCCACACUGGAACUGAGACACGGUCCAGACUCCUACGGGAGGCAGCAGUAGGGAAUCUUACGCAAUGGGCGAAAGCUUGACGGAGCAACGCCGCGUGAGUGAUGAAGGUCUUCGGAUCGUAAAACUCUGUUAUUAGGGAAGAACAAAUGUGUAAGUAACUAUGCACGUCUUGACGGUACCUAAUCAGAAAGCCACGGCUAACUACGUG